AUUGAACGCUGGCGGCAGGCCUAACACAUGCAAGUCGAGCGGAUGAAGGGAGCUUGCUCCUGGAUUCAGCGGCGGACGGGUGAGUAAUGCCUAGGAAUCUGCCCGGUAGUUGGGGAUAACGUCCGGAAACGGGCGCUAAUACCGCAUACGUCCUGAGGGAGAAAGUGGGGGAUCUUCGGACAUCACGCUAUCAGAUGAGCCUAGGUCGCAUUAGCUAGUUGGUGGGGUAAAGGCCUACCAAGGCGACGAUCCGUAACUGGUCUGAGAGGAUGAUCAGUCACACUGGAGCUGAGACACGGUCCAGACUCCUACGGGAGGCAGCAGUGGGGAAUAUUGGACAAUGGGCGAAAGCCUGAUCCAGCCAUGCCGCGUGUGUGAAGAAGGUCUUCGGAUUGUAAAGCACUUUUAGUUGGGAGGAAGGGCAGUAAGUUAAUACCUUGCUGUUUUGACGUUACCAACAGAAUAAGCACCGGCUAACUUCGUG
rnacentral:rRNA from 1 species